rnacentral:misc_RNA from 1 species
AAGAAAUGAUAAACAGCUUCUUCUUAACUUAGAUCAUUAUUGUUCCCAAAAAUACAAAGAUCAUCAACAACAUAAGAGCAUGGUAACAUCACAAACACUUGAUUGAUUACUUACCAAAACGAAAACAUCAAGAAGAAGUAACGAAAAACUAGAGACAACCAACAACUACGAAGAAUCCAGCAUUAGCAAGAAGAAGUUCUUGAACAAUACAAGUUCCUUUGACAUCCUUUUUAUUCCUCUUCAUUCAGCAAUUUUUGAUAUAUCUUCGUAAUCAAUGGCCUUGAUAACCUUACCGUCAUAUAUUCCCUUCUCAAUUUGUACUCUAGCACUGAAGUUCUUUGUAUCAACUGCUAAUAGUCUAGCAUUUGAUGAACGAUAUGCACCAUUAACGAUCCUCACAAGACCACCAAUUUGGGGAAUGACAGUCUCAAGCUCUUCCUGAUCAACCCGUAGAACAUGCUUAGUUUCAAUCAUUUCAAUCUCCCCAACAUACUUAUCAAUAACCUUGCGAACAAUACCCUUUUGCUUAUAGUAACCCUUUUCAGCCAAAGCCUUGCUCAUUACCUUCACAACUAUCCCUGAGCAUAACCAGUAAUCUUUCCUAUUACUCCGCUCCUUUUGUUCCUCUUCCUCUCUCAUUAUCUCAUCCAACACAGGGCAAUUUUCACGUUUACCAUUCUUACCACUGUCCUUACCUUUUUCUCUCUUCUCAUUAUCUAUCUCAUCAAACACGGAUUUUGAGCUUCCUGCUCUCUCUUUCACAACAGAUUUUGAUGUCGAGCCUAACGUUAACUUGAUCUUCUGCUCAGUCUCCAAUUUCUCCAUGAGCACCGGAUGCAACUCUACAGAACCAUCCAUAUUUUCCAUACCAUCCAUAUUUCCUGCACCCAUCAACUGCUCAGCACGCUCUCUUUGCUUCUUAAUCUCCCUUUCCUGCUUCUCUUCAUCUGCUAGGUCGGACCUAAUUCUUUUGUUUUUCAUUUUUUCUUUGAAGAGAGUCUCGGAGUCUCGAUCAAUAUAGGUAAUAAACCAACCUUUCGGUGUGUCUUCAACUUUACACUUUCCUGUUUUUCCCAAGUACUUCACAAACUCAGUUAAUGUUGCCCAUUGAGUGGAAUUCAUAUGGACAUGGUGGCGAUCAGCGAUAUACUCAUUGUACACAACAGUUGCAGCAAUACGACUAAAGCGGUGACUACGCUUCAUAUGCUCAAGAAAUAAGCUCUCAAAUUCCUCGGAAUAGCCACCGACAAUGCGAUUAGGGUUCUGACCAAAGAUUUCCAUUUGACGUUGAUGAGACUCACUCAUGCAGUGGCACUUGAAUCCAUUUUCAUCUCGACAUUGCUUUUGGCACAUUUGGCAGUACCAUCGCAGCUUCUGCAGGCCCUUUGCUUUUAUUCGGUUGGCAAUUGCCUUAGGGGUCAAGAAAUCAUUUUUCCCCAUUUGAAUUUGGGAAGUUCAAAUCGAUGGACUUCUUAACAAUUACCUUUUCCGGUCAAUGUUCCGGGACGACGACGAGGCAGUUUCCACCACCACAAUGCGAAUUCCGAUGGGUUUCGCGAGGAAGAAGGGCAAAAUCUG